GACGAACCGUGCGAACGUUAUUCGGAAUCACUGGGCUUAAAGGGCGCGUAGGCGGGUAUUCAAGUCCGUGGUGAAAUCCUCCGGCUCAACCGGAGAACUGCCUCGGAUACUGGGUGCCUCGAGGGUGGUAGGGGUAUGCGGAACUAUCGGUGGAGCGGUGAAAUGCGUUGAUAUCGAUAGGAACUCCGGUGGCGAAGGCGGCAUACUGGACCACCUCUGACGCUGAGGCGCGAAAGCCAGGGGAGCAAACGGG
rnacentral:rRNA from 1 species